rnacentral:rRNA from 1 species
CUACGGGUGGCUGCAGUGGGGAAUAUUGCACAAUGGAGGAAACUCUGAUGCAGCAACGCCGCGUGGAGGAUGACACUUUUCGGAGCGUAAACUCCUUUUAUCUAGGAAGAAGAUGACGGUACUAUAUGAAUAAGCGCCGGCUAACUCCGUGCCAGCAGCCGCGGUAAUACGGAGGGCGCAAGCGUUACUCGGAAUCACUGGGCGUAAAGAGCGUGUAGGCGGAUUAAAAAGUCAGAAGUGAAAUCCUAUAGCUUAACUAUAGAACUGCUUCUGAAACUCUUAAUCUAGAAUGUGGGAGAGGUAGAUGGAAUUUCUGGUGUAGGGGUAAAAUCCGUAGAGAUCAGAAGGAAUACCGAUUGCGAAGGCGAUCUACUAGAACAUUAUUGACGCUGAGACGCGAAAGCGUGGGGAGCAAACAGGAUUAGAUACCCCGGUAGUC